UGGCCGAGUGGUUAAGGCGGCGGCCUGCUAAGCCGUUGGGCUCUGCCCGCGAGGGUUCGAAUCCC
rnacentral:tRNA from 1 species